rnacentral:misc_RNA from 1 species
GAUGAAGAACGUAGCGAAAUGCGAUACGUAAUGUGAAUUGCAAAUUCAGUGAAUCAUCGAGUCUUUGAACGCACAUUGCGCCCCCUGGUAUUCCGGGGGGCAUGCCUGUCCGAGCGUCAUUGCUGCCCUCAAGCACGGCUUGUGUGUUGGGCCCCGUCCUCCGAUCCCGGGGGACGGGCCCGAAAGGCAGCGGCGGCACCGCGUCCGGUCCUCGAGCGUAUGGGGCUUUGUCACCCGCUCUGUAGGCCCGGCCGGCGCUUGCCGAUCAACCCAAAUUUUUAUCCAGGUUGACCUCGGAUCAGGUGGGGAUACCCGCUGAACUUAAGCAUAUCAAAAGCGGAGGA